GACGAACGCUGGCGGCGUGCUUAACACAUGCAAGUCGAACGGUGAAGCGCCUUCCUUUUUGGUGGGUGUGGAUGAGUGGCGAACGGGUGAGUAACACGUGAGUAACCUGCCCCCUUCUUCUGGAUAACCGCAUGAAAGUGUGGCUAAUACGGGAUAUUCUGGGUCUGUCGCAUGAUGGGUCUGGGAAAGAUAUUGUUUCGGUGGGGGAUGGGCUCGCGGCCUAUCAGCUUGUUGGUGGGGUGAUGGCCUACCAAGGCGGUGACGGGUAGCCGGCCUGAGAGGGUGGACGGUCACACUGGGAAUGAGACACGGCGCAGACUCCUACGGGAGGCAGCAGUGGGGAAUAUUGAACGAUGGGCGCAAGCCUGAUGCAGCGACGCCGCGUGAGGGAUGGAGGCCUUCGGGUUGUGAACCUCUUUCGCCAGUGAAGCAGGCCUGCCUCGUUUGUGGGUGGGUUGACGGUAGCUGGAUAAGAAGCGCCGGCUAACUACGUG
rnacentral:rRNA from 1 species